GAUGAACGCUGGCGGCGUGCUUAACACAUGCAAGUCGAACGGGAAACAUUUUAUUGAAGCUUCGGCGGAUUUAGCUUGUUUCUAGUGGCGGACGGGUGAGUAACGCGUGGGUAACCUACCUUAUACCGGGGGAAACCAGCCAGAAAUGGCUGCUAAUACCGCAUACGCGCACGGAGCCGCAUGGCUCUGUGUGGAAAACUACGGUGGGAUAAGAUGGACCCGCGUUGGAUUAGCUAGUUGGCAGGGCAGCGUCCUACCAAGGCGACGAUUCAUAGCCGGCCUGAGAGGGUGAACGGCCACAUUGGGACUGAGACACGGCCCAGACUCCUACGGGAGGCAGCAGUGGGGAAUAUUGCUCAAUGGGGGAAACCCUGAUGCAGCGACGCCGCGUGAAGGAAGAAGUAUCUCGGUAUGUAAACUUCUAUCAGCAGGGAAGAUAAUGACGGUACCUGACGAAGAAGCCCCGGCUAACUACGUGCCAGCCGCCGCCGUAA
rnacentral:rRNA from 1 species